rnacentral:rRNA from 1 species
UACAGAGGUGGCAAGCGUUGCUCGGUAUCACUGGGCUUAAAGGGCGCGUAGGCGGCCUUCUAAGUCAGACGUGAAAUCCCCCGGCUUAACCUGGGAACUGCGUCUGAUACUGGGAGGCUUGAGUAUGGGAGAGGGAUGUAGAAUUCCAGGUGUAGCGGUGAAAUGCGUAGAUAUCUGGAGGAAUACCGGUGGCGAAGGCGGCAUCCUGGACCAUUACUGACGCUGAGGCGCGAAAGCUAGGGGAGCAAACGGG